UGCUGAAGCUCUCAAUAACCUGCUGC
rnacentral:piRNA from 1 species